GAGGAUGAUGAAUACAAUUGGAACAUAAAAUUUGUUGUAAACUCACAUGUUGAAAAGAGUAGAAUUCCAAUGAAUAUCAAAGCUGAUUU